rnacentral:rRNA from 1 species
UACGUAGGGGGCUAGCGUUAUCCGGAUUUACUGGGCGUAAAGGGUGCGUAGGUGGUUUCUUAAGUCAGGAGUGAAAGGCUACGGCUCAACCGUAGUAAGCUCUUGAAACUGGGGAACUUGAGUGCAGGAGAGGAAAGUGGAAUUCCUAGUGUAGCGGUGAAAUGCGUAGAUAUUAGGAGGAACACCAGUAGCGAAGGCGGCUUUCUGGACUGUAACUGACACUGAGGCACGAAAGCGUGGGGAGCAAACAGGAUUAGAUACCCUGGUAGUCCACGCCGUAAACGAUGAGUACUAGGUGUCGGGGGUUACCCCCCUCGGUGCCGCAGCUAACGCAUUAAGUACUCCGCCUGGGGAGUACGCUCGCAAGAGUGAA